rnacentral:rRNA from 1 species
AAUCAUUAGCCUCUUAAUUAGAGGCUGGAAUGAAUGGUUUAACAUUUCCUUAACUUUUUUAAAAAUUAAAAACAAAUUUAUAUUAAAUAUAAAAAUAUAUUUAUAUACAAACCAGACGACAAGACCCUUUCAAACUUUACUGUAGUUGAGCUGGGGUAGCUCAAUAAUUAAUAUCUUAUUAUUUUUUUUAAAAUAGACCCAGUUAAAAUUGAUCAAAUGAACAAGUUACUGAAGGGAUAACAGCAUAAUAAAUUUAUAUAGCUCUUAUUAAAAAAUUAGUUUAUGACCUCGAUGUUGAAUUAUAUUACUUCUACACGCAAGAGUGUAGAAAGUAGGUCUGUUCGACCUUUAAAUUUU